UUAAAAAGUUCCCUGGGUUGGGUGAAAAGAGGUGGCUCUCUCUCCACAGGCUUGGAGCCUCCAAUAGUCAUGUGUUCUCGUGCUCCCAAGCUCCGUCUGGGUGGAACUUGAGAAGACAAGCCCCUUCCCACCUGCUCUGUCUCAGACAGCUUCGGGAUUUGGUUUCCCUUCAGAGUUAGGUCAGCCACGAGUCUCAGUCUUUCUUUUUCUUUUCUUUCAGUUCUAAAAUAACCGACACUGAUGUCCUGCAGUACUGGGAAGACCGUGGCACCACCCCGCCCCCCAACCCGCUCGCUCAUGGCUGGCCAGUGAUGCCCAAGCUAAUUUUAGACCUUGAAGACAAGCCACGGGGAAGAAAAGGAUAAUGGGCAGAAAAUGAUCAGGUUCCAUGAUUUAACUUAAAGUGACUGGAAACAGAGCAAUGGGGAAGGAGGAGAGACGUCAGUCCAUCUUGUCAAGUCCAGUCAAGAAAUGUCAGUGAGGCAGAGAAGCCCGGGGCUGCUGCAGGCUUCGUGUGCUGAGUGCUGAGGAAGGAGGGGAGCCCCAAACCACAGGAGCUUCGACAGCCCCACUUUGCUGCAGAAAAUGAUCAGGUUCCCAGAGGGAUAAAAUUACCUGGAAGUAUUCCGCAGAGCCCCUCCCCCAAUCCUCUUAGCCUCUUCGAGGCAAAGGCAGUUCACUGCAUUGCUUGUAAGUGGAGGGAUACAAGCUGGAAUGUGCAAUGGGAGAGGAUGGAAUGUGCAAUGGGAGAGCAGGACAAGAAGAAAAACAAACAUCAUGCUUUCUGUCAUACGUGGAGUGCUGUUGGGGGCGGCAUGUACAGAAGGAGAAAGACUCUCAUAGAGAGGGAAGGGACCAGCCGAAACGAGGGGACGAGGGAGGCCAUGGGGGAGAAGUAUACAAUGCAGAAUGAUCUGUGUGAAUGCAAGUGUCGUCAUGGAAUCCAAUACCCUGCAUGCGAACAUUACACACUACAAAGCAAAGCGAACCAGGAGGGACGCCAAGUACCGAGAGAGCAGAGAGGAAGGUGUGGUCUGCUCAGGCUGUGAGAGCAGGAGCCCUGGGUUCCUGCUUCCAGGGGGCUGGGAGAAGUCGUGUGGCAGCCGGCUAAGGGAAAGCAGUGGGAUACAAGAUUAUGUCAUCACUGGGACCAAACGACAUUCAGCAAUGCAGAAAAUGAACAAAGACUGGGGAUACAGUUCAGUGGUAAGAGCUCACAGGGGGUCGUAUUCAAGCCUCUGGACUGACUUGACCUUGGGGUUCUGACAGGCUAUGUCCUCAGCCACAGCUACUAAGAAGUGUUCUUCAGGAGAGUAAGUAUCCUUUGGCCACGCAAGUAAGUCAAAGGCCCUCUCUUCAAGCCAGGUGGGGGUGGCACACGCCUUCAAUCCCAGCACGCGAGAGGCAGAGGCAGGCAGAUCUCUGUGAGUUUGAGACCAGCCUGGUCUACAAGAGCGAGUUCCAGGACAGCUAGGGCUCUUAUGUAGAGAAACCCUGUCUCAGGGGAAAAAAAACAAGAACAAAAUUAACAAAUUCCCCUGUCAGAGCCACAUAAACAAAGCCAAAGCAAAUGCUGAAGUUAUGAGGAGAAGGGUAUUUCUGUAUGCAUGUCCACCAUGAAGUAUUUCUGUUCCAAGUAUUUAUACGUAGUCCUUCUGAUGCUAUAAGGAGGAGGCAGAUGCCCUGGGUAAUGUUAGUCCCAUUAAGCCCUUUCAGGCCCUGAACUAUUUUAGUUUCAGGGGGAAGGAAGUCCUGCCCACAGGCAUUGAGGACGUACUUUCAGGGGACUUUGGAGGUCACAAGGUCUUCCCUGUAGUUCAAGUCACUCUGAAGCCUUUGAAGGACCAUGGAUUCCCUCUUCAAGGCCAGAAAGGCGUUUGAGAAGCAAGUGAGAAGCCCUCUCAUCAAAUCCUUAAAAUUGGAUUGUUCAGUUGGAACCUCCUGAUGACCCCUGCAUGAUCCAGAAAACCCCAUCCCCACCGCCCCUCCAAACCCUGCCUUCUCAGAGAAUCUCCAACAAAGAUGCCAAAAAGCCCAGUUUGUACUGCUGGCAACUAUUGCAACUUCCUUUCCUGUUGCCACCAGCAGCCCAAGUACCCACCUAAGCAUUCCAGUUUUUGACUGUACUUGGGCACACACCCAGCUUGUGGUGGACACGACAUCACCCCUUGCCUACAGGCUAUCCUAUUUCCCUGCUUUAGCUGAGGCUUGUGGCUGCCCCAGCUUUUGAUCUCUGGGAUCGAACCUACAUGGGAGUUGUUUUGCUCAAAUAAACCUGUUGUUACGCUUUUUCGAUUUGGCUUGGUCUGGCUUACUGCAUCAGCAGAGAAACCUAUUAUGGGAAGGGGUGGCAGAGAACCUAUUACCAAUGUGUCCAUCUCAUCCACGUAAAUACAGUAGACAUUUGGGGUUGUGUACAUGGCCCUGAAGAGCCUUUCAAAAGUGCUAGUCUUUGUGACAACUACCACAUAAGCCGAAGGAAACACAGUCUCUUCUAUGGACAUGCUCAUUGGGUAGUGAUUUUGAUGCAAAUAUUCUUGGUCAGUUCUAUUCCUUAGUGGGGUAAUGGGUAUAUUUUCACCAAAUAAAUUUUUUCCUUCUGUCACAAUCAUAUCACAGACUUCUGUAAUGACGGAGACAUUUGAGAUGUUCCUUAUUUUUCUGGGACUAAGUUGUUAAGAGACAGUACAGGAAUUGUGGACACUGCAGUCAGCACCGGUGACAACCCUGAAUGUUGUCUGCUUCCUUUUUUCCUAUGAUGUUCGUGUCUAGGUUUGCCACUUGCCUGGUUUCAUUUCGGCACUGAUGCCAGCCAGACUUCAUCUAUAUACAGACGCAGGGUGGGGGCUGAUCUGCUCUAACUUCUUGUUUUGGCAAGGAGGGGAAGUGAAACAAGAAAUUAAAUCAUCUCAUGGAAAAAUCUAUUAACCUCAAGUCUGUGGCUCUUGUCUGAUAGGGAAGGAGUUGAGGGACUCAGAAUGAAACACAGGAAACAACUGAUUCGCUGAUAGAGGAGCUGACAAGGUAGAUGCGGGGUUUCUCCCUCCAGGUCGAUGCCGGAUGAAGAUCCUGUAAACCGGUCUCAGUGGCCAACUCAGGGUAGACAGCUCAUGGGGGGUGGUGAUGGAAUGUGUGCUAUUCUAAGAGUAUUCUUCCAGUAUAGAAAGUACCGGCACCAACACUGACGUCACUUGACAACAUAAAGGAUGCUACAUUUCUUCAAAUCAGGCCAUCAUAGCUGUACUAAGAUGGGUUUCACUGACAACCCCUCAGCCGCAAUUGCUCCGUACUUGGAUCUAAAAAUAAAGAAUACCAAGCCUUACUUUUCAAGGCUGGAGGGAACUUAAAUAUUUUUCACGUCAACUCAAUUUGUCAGUGAAGAAAAUGGAAGUGAACGGUGGCCAAUAUUCUGCAGCAGGUUUGUCUCCAUUGUCCCAUGGACACCCAGUGAGAUGUUGGCUGCAUACUCAUUUUGCAGAUUGGGAAGGUGAAACUCAAAGAUGAGUGUUCUAACAAAAAGUGAAUGGAGGUGGGUGGAUAGAGAGAUGGUGCAGAGGUUAAGAGCACUGUCUGGUC